GUCUGUGAGAGCCGUCUGUCAAUCACUCGCGAACUCCGACCAAACGGUCAAACUAGUAAGUGAGCCCAACAGUGGGCUGGUGACCAGCGGCAGCGCUGGAUCUAACGGUUCCUGCACCUCACUCCCCACCUCUGGAGAAGGACAAGCCACCGGCGAGCUGCGACCAAACUUUAUGGUCCCACUGAUGUGUGUUGUCACCAUUAAAUCUUGUUAUGGUGAUGAUAACUAACAA